rnacentral:rRNA from 1 species
UAUGUGAUCGUCUCUCGCAUAUCAAUAAGCGGAGGAAAAGAAACUAACAAGGAUUCCCCUAGUAACGGCGAGUGAAGCGGGAAGAGCUCAAAUUUGAAAUCUUAAAGGGUUUCCCUUUACGAAUUGUAGUUUAAAGAAGUGUUUUCUGUUGAGGUUUUGGUAAAAGUUCUUUGGAAUAGGACAUCAUAGAGGGUGAGAAUCCCGUAUUUGACCUUUACUUUCAACUUUGUGAUACACUUUCAAAGAGUCGGAUUGCUUGGGAAUGCAGUCCAAAAUGGGUGGUAAAUUUCAUCUAAAGCUAAAUAUUGGCGAGAGACCGAUAGCGAACAAGUACCGUGAGGGAAAGAUGAAAAGAACUUUGAAAAGAGAGUUAAACAGUACGUGAAAUUGUCAAAAGGGAAGCGUUUGACACCAGUGUUGUUUUUCUGAAAAUCAAUUAAAGAACUGUUUAUGCUAAGUUGUUUAGACUUUAUCAGCUAUCUGUCUUAGUUUUGAGCUUUUCUUUAAUGCACUUUUCAGUUAACAAGUCAACAUCAAUUUCUUUUGCUGUAAAAAAGCUUGAGGAGGGUGGCUUGAGAUUCGUCUUAAGUGUUUAUAGCCUCUUGCCUAUGCAGUCGGAGAGAUUGAGGUCUGCAGCGUAGAUCCUUCGGGGCUAAAUGCAUUUGUGCUAAGUUAUAGCAUUUUAUAGACAACUUGUUGACUAUGAUUUGUCUUGUAGCUUACUCGCUUAUGUUAUUUUACCUACGCUUAGGAUGUUGAGUAGCGACAUACGCAC